AUGGCUGUCGUCAGCUCGUGUCGUGAGAUGUUGGGUUAAGUCCCGCAACGAGCGCAACCCCUACCGUGUGUUGUAUCACUCACACGGGACUGCCGAGAGAAACUCGGAGGAAGGUGGGGAUGACGUCAAGUCAGCAUGGCCCUUACGUCCUGGGCUACACCCACGCUACAAUGGCCGGUACAACGGGCUGCGAAACCGCGAGGUGGAGCGAAUCCCUUAAAGCCGGUCUCAGUUCGGAUUGUAGGCUGCAACUCGCCUACAUGAAGCCGGAGUUGCUAGUAACCGCCGGUCAGCAUACGGCGGUGAAUAUGUUCCCGGGCCUUGUACACACCGCCCGUCACGUCAUGAAAGCUGGCAACACCCGAAGCCGGUGCGCCAACCGCAAGGAGGCAGCCGUCGAAGGUGGGGUCGGUGAUUGGGACGAAGUCGUAACAAGGUAGCCGUACCGGAAGGUGCGGCUGGAUCACCUCCUUUCUAGGGAGAUCCGAGUCCCGGUCCCGCGGUGGGAACGGGGCGUUGAUGGCUCCUAUGGUUGAUCGCACGGUCGUUCGCUUUCCCAGUCAGGUGGGGAGCGCCGGAGCUCACAAGAGCGCCGGAGGCCGAUCGCGACCUGGCGAGAUCACCGAAACCGUUCGACCAUCCGUUGUCGAGGCUCUCUGCCACUCUUCUAGGGUCAAGGGUGCCACCGCCCACGCCGUCGAUCGUCGACCGUGAGGUCGGCGCAGACCCGGCGGGCGUUUAGCUCAGCUGGUUAGAGCACUGCCCUGAUAAGGCAGAGGUCUCUGGUUCGAGUCCAGAAACGCCCACCAUUCCCGCCGGGACUCGUUCCCGGGGGGCCUGGGGGACGUAGCUCAGCUGGCAGAGCAUCUCCUUUGCAAGGAGAGGGUCAGGAGUUCGAGUCUCCUCGUCUCCACCACUCUUCUCGUCCGCCGGCGCCGCACCCGAGAAUCCAUCGCUCCCCUGAUCCGUGACCUUCCCGGAGGUCACCGACCAGCGGACCGCUGGGGAGAGCUUCGGCUCUCGAGAUCCGCGACUCGCGGAUCGCACCUUACCAACUGGAUAAUGUGAUCGGCAAAAGAGAAGUCUUUUUGAUCUUCGAUUUCGCCGUGUUGUCUAGAAAAUUCCGAUAUCGAUCCCAUACGUCCCUGACCGCUUGGUCAGAGGCUGAGGGGUCAAGCUACACAGGGCACGAGGUGGAUGCCUUGGCGCCAAGAGCCGAUGAAGGACGUGGCAGGCUGCGAAAAGCUCCGGGGAGUCGCGAGCAGACGUUAUAUCCGGAGAUGUCCGAAUGGGGAAACCCGG
rnacentral:sRNA from 1 species